ensembl:lncRNA
CUUUGUCCCCUCGUUUGUGGAGAUCUCCCUCCAUGAAUCAGAGGCCAUCCGGCGUCCUCAUAGUCCGCCCAUGACGGCUUGUACAAGCGCUCAUAUUUAAAAGCUCUUCAAUCUGAUCCGUUCUCUCGUAAACGUUCUUCCCUUUAAUAACGGCCGUAUUGUGCUGUGAAAACGGAGACGUGAGACUCUAAAGGACGUAGUCAGCAGACCAAUCACAGCCUGGUGCUGCAGGACGCUGCGUCGCUUACACGCUAGUCUAGAACAAUGGGUCGACGCACACAAGGAGGCGUGAAAAGACACGCAAGGGACACGCGAGGGACACGCGAGGGACACGCGAGGGGGUCUUGCGUCUGCGUGUCCUUGCGUCGCUCUGAAAACGCGGAAGCAUAAACUAGGUUUAACACUGAUUCUGAGGUCGGGCUCAUCUGGUUCAGCUGUUUUACCUCUAGUUUCUCUGGCAAAGUUCUUCUCUUGUACCGAGUUCGGGUCGGGUCUUCUUGAAGGACACUGCCGGUGGUCGCUCUUGUUAUGUUGUUAACCAGCGCGUCAGAGACUCACCUUGAUGACGGGCGGCGAAGGGCGAGCUCAAAUCUCAAUGUAUUUUAGGACGCUGAAAUGAUAAUGUCACUUAUUAACUUUAUCAUUGAUUGGCUAACUGCUUCUUAGACCCGCCUCCUUGGCACUGUGCCCGAGCCCAGCUGAGACUAGGAUUGCAACCUUUAGUACAGAAAAAUAAGGGACCCUACGCCCGACCGGGACGGGUGCAACCCUAGCUGAGACAUGCGGACAAGCGGCGAGGACGUGCAGGAAAAGCGCAUAUUUUGCGAGGUAUUUUCAAAUAUUAGCAGGUAUAUUAUCCAUGAUUCAAAACGACAAAAAGACAAAUAUUGACUAUUUAUAAUAUAUAAAUAUAUAUAACAAACAACAAAAAUUACUAUUAUAUAUAUACUAUAUUUUUAUUUUUUUUCAUCCCUCAUGGUGGGGCCACGCCCCAUUGCAGCCGCCACUGGAAGACGCCCCUUAAGUUCCUGCUUAACGGGGGGUUGGAGCUUCCUUUUUGCUUUUCCAUCCUCCACUUCAUCGUUGUACAUUAAAGAGCCUUCCUCUUGGGAUUUAUCUGAGAACGAGUCUGGGCCGGGAGUGAAACCAAAUAUUUAUUUAUGAAUUCAACCUCACUGAGUACAGUUCAUUCCUUAUAUUCAAUGAUAAUCAGUGAUAAUCAAUGCCAACAGGCCCCGGCAGAGGCUGUAAUUAUGUGUUGUUUGUGUGUGUGUGACAGCCUCGUCCUACGGCAACAUAGCAGAGUCGUUUCCUCCACCUCCCUUCAUCGUUGCUCGAAGAACAAAGUUUAUUAAAGUUCAGCUGCGAAUGCUGCAUGAAAAAUGCUAGAUUCAGGUUUUGUCGGGUGAGAGGGGUCGGCUACCAUCUUUUUAGCUGCUUCAGAGACCUGGAAGCGAACAAGUCCUCCAGGGACGGCAGAUUGCAGCCGAUCAGCCUCUCUGCAGAGCGGAGGACACGCUGCAGCCUGCCCUUGUCCUUGGCUGUGGCUGCAGCGUACCAGACGCUGAUGGAGGAGCAGAGGAUGGACUCCAUGAUGGCCGUGUAGAAGAGGACCAUCAUCGUCUUUGGCAGGUUGAGUUUCUUCAGCUGCCUCAGGAAGAACAACCUCUGCUGAGCCUUCUUGGUGAUGGAGCUGAUGUUCAGCUCCCACUUGAGGUCCUGGGUGAUGAUGGAGCCCAGGAAACGGAAGGAGUCCACAAUAGUGACGGGGGAGUCACACAGGGUGAUGGGGGAGGGUGGGGCUCUGUUCCUCCUGAAGUCCACAACCAUCUCCACUGUCUUUAGAGCGUUGAGCUCCAGGUUGUUCUGGCUGCACCACGACACCAGAUGGUCAGACUCCACCUGUAGGCGGACUCGUCCCCACCAGAGAUCAGUUCAAUGAGGGUGGUGUCAUCCGCAAACUUCAGGAGCUUGACGGACUGGUGGCUGGAGGUGCAGCUGUUGGUGUACAGGGAGAAGAGCAGAGGGGAAAGAACGCAGCCUUGGGGGGAACCGGUGCUGAUGGUCCGAGAGGCUGAGACAUGUUUCCCCAGCUUCACGUGCUGGAAUUUUUCUAUUUUUCUCUUGGCGACUUACAUAAGUGCUUUCAAUCAUGAGGGAACAGACUCUCAGCCGAGCUCAGGAUGGAGAAGCUGCUUCAUCACUGUGAUUUGAGCUUUCAGCAGAUGUCCAUGGCUCCAGCAGGAUGAACACCUGACAUUCUGUCCUACGUCAGGUCGACAUUUUUACCCGCGACGCCGAUAAGCCGGGUGGAAUUUAGUCUGUUGAUAUGUGUAAAAAGAAAAGCGGUGAAAAUAAUAAAAAGGAUUCAAUUAACAAACAGCCACCGCUAAGUUUAAUUAGCCUCCCCACUGCUCGCUAACGAGGAUGCUAACGAACCAGCGGCAAGCUCGUUUGUCGAGCUGGCGAAGGCUGGACAAAGCUGACGGCUGCAGGGGGGAGGAGGGUGUGAUUGGCAGGUCGCAGCAGGGGGCGGGGCUUUGGCUAAUUGCAAAGUUAAGAAACAGCAUGAGUUCAUGUUGUUGCACUUUUUGUUUCAUGGAAGCAGCGCCAUCGAUCGGCGUGUUGUUUACGUGUCCGAAUGAAGAAGAAAGGUUAUCAGGUAUUGACGAGUAGCUGAUGGGUUGUGACCUUUGGCUUCGCUCAGGGGGGAGAGGGCUCGGGGGGGCAACAGCCCAGCAGGAGACCGAAUAAGUUUAUUCCAUACUUAUUAAAACUCAACGGAAGGUCGUCAUAGAGCUGCACGUUCAGUUAAAGUGUUAACGUUUGCAUUAUGAGGCGGAUAUGGUUUCUUCUCUCUACUCGACUAACAGAAUGUACUGAGGAUGUGCCCCUGACCAAUGAAGAGCAUUGGUGAACAGAUAUUCCACACAGAUAUGUAGUGUUUUUAAGUAAAAAGAGCCUAAAACAGGACGGGUAAGUCGUGUUAAAACCUAUUGGUUAUUACAUUGAUAUUUUCCUGAACAAUAACACAUGCCUCUUCAUAUAGACACACUAAACCGUGGAAGUUGGGGAACAAACAAAUGAGUAAAUGAACAAACAGGAGCUCCAGACAGGAAUAUGAAACUUUAACAUGAAACAUCAUCACAGGUUAUGAACAUAUUCUUCAUUUUUCUGUUUCAAGACAACGACGUGAACGUCUUUAAUCCCGCCUCUUUGUCUAAUUGGUCGAGAUGUUUUCCAUCACAAGCAGGAUUUGGACUAAUAGUAGAAGUGCAGGAGAAUCAGAUCGGUUUUAUGAUGAAGCUGAGGACUCUCACCAUGUGACUGAUCACAGGUCAUUUUCUGUCAUUCGGUGAUGCAUUCAGGACGACUAAGGAGCUGAUGGUGAAGUCACAUGACCAUGUGCUUUCUGGGUUAGAGGAUCCACUGAGCUUCUUUCUCUUUGGUUUCCUCCGUUCUGCACCUGUCGGCAUUGACCUGAAUGUCUGAGGGACAUGAAACCAGCUGGUGUAGUGAGUGCCCCCCCCCCUACACACACACCACUAUGACACUGCCCACAGAGGAGUCAUUGGGCUCUGCCCCCCCAACAAGCACCUGUAUUCCAUUUCUCAUCUGGUCUCGCCGGAGAGCUCUAAGCCUUGUUUUAAUCCUCGCUAGAAAACAGCUUUCAGAGGAUUAGCACCGAGGGAGGGGGCUCCUUUCGCCUCCUUCUUCUCCCCUAGACAAGUUAACCUUCCACACAGGACUCUGCAAAGGCUUCCACUUUUAUCCCGCCUUCCUUCCCGUUGAUACCCAGUGGCCUCCGUUACAGCCCCCCCCCCUAAAGCCGUAACUUCACUGAGUAGUUCCACGCUAUCUGGAGGAAGUCGACCUCCCCGUAGUAGAGCUACUGUGUGAGGUGCAGGUCAGAACCCCCCCUUACAAUACGUAUGUUGGGGGUGGGUGUAUUAUUGUUCCCCAGUGGGUGUUUAUGUGUUGAUGUGAACAAAGACAGGAUUAUUCCGUUAAUGUGUGUGUGUGGCCACGCCCCCCCGCGGCGAGAUGGUAAAUUUAACUUGUUUCUUCUUCUUCUUUCUGUAAACCCUGUUAACGGAGCGUCUUGACAUGUUUUAGGAGCAACGAGAGAUGAAAGCAGGAAAAGUGGCUCCUGUUCCUCCACGUUCCCAUUGGACGGCUUGCCUGCCGCUCUUUUGUCUGGGAACCAGGGAAGACUCCUCCCAUCUGAGCUUUGUGAAUAGCUGCCGCUGAUGACCGGGAAGAAGCCUUAACUGAUGUGGGUGGAUGGAACCCGCUCAUGAUUAGCCUAGCUUAGCACAAAGGAAACCCCCUUUUAGCAACUCAAAGUCAGCAGAUGGUGAUGAUGCAGACGGACCUCAGCAUGUUUCUAUGAAGGUGAACCUUCAUUCACCUUCUCAUCCAUAGGUUUGCUAAUUCCACCUGGGCUGUCAGAAGUAGGCACAGCUCUCUCCUCAUUGGACACCAGGAAAGAAGGACAUCGUGGGGGUCGUCGUGGCGCAGGGGUAGAGAGGGUGCACUGGGAACUGUAAGGUUGGUAGUUCGAGUCCUGGCUGCCCCAUGUCCAAGGUGGAGUGUCCUUGAGCAAGACACCUAACUCCUAAUUGCUCCCUGGGCAAAAACGUAAGUCGCUUUGAAUAAAAGCGUCAGCUAAAUGACCUGUAAUGCGAUGUGAUGGUCAUUCUCUCUUUUAGAUCCGGCUGGGUCUCCACCGGCUCUGGAGACUCUCCACCUUCUCCCCCAGCUCACCUUGAUUACAUCACAUGUCAUUUAGCUGACGCUUUUAUCCAAUGUAUCAGUGAAGUUUCAAUGGUGGAACAGCAUUGACAGAAACGCUUCAGGUAAAGCUUUUUGAGAAGAACAUUGUCUCAAACGCCUCUGAAAGGUCUUUUCUUGUUUCUGGAAAGCGUCAAUCAAAGCGCUCCAGCUGAUUUUUGUUGAAUUUCUUUAAUGUUUUUACAACGUUUUGUUGGUUUUUACUCAUCGGAGUGAAAUGAUGUUUUCUCCUUCACAAGCCUCCGUCACACUAAUCAAUCUGCUGUUAUUCAAACAUUCUCCGAUCCCUGUUGCGUUAUUUACAUUUCAGAAGGUACAAAUGACACGGGUCAAAGCGUCUGGAGGAAACCGGAAGAUGUUUUCUCUCUCCGGGUGGAGGCGGAGGACGGGGAUUAAAUGGGGCUUAUUGAUCGUGGAUCAGCGGUUACUCUCAGACGAAUGCGUUCAUGGUUGCAUUCAGGGGGUUAAGCACUGAAGCUGAGCUGGAGAAGCAGCAGACAGUUAAUUAUUUUGACUGUUCACCUCCGGCUGCACAAAAGAAAAAAGGAGCUGAGCCUUUUGUCUGCUGGUAGACGCCACGUGCUAAAGGUUGGUAGACCCACGGUGGUUGUGACAUUAAUACUUAAUUCUAGACACUACGGUUUAAUAUCAGCAUUCCUCACACUGUGCUGCCCCAACAUGCUCAGGUACGCGUUCUGCAUUGUGUCUUUACAGACAUGAUCAAAAUGACGUUGCCAUGGCGACCUGCUUUCACAGCUUCCUUUUGUUAGUUUCUCUGUUGAUAAUUUUGGGACUGACCAUUGAAGUCGAGGUUUUUACUGUUUGAAUUUGGUGAACUGUCCAAAGAAAGCGAGAUUAGUGCUGAUGGUGACGGAUUAUGUAUCUGAGCCUCGCUAAUCGAAGCCAGGAUGCAAAUCAAUCUGCACACCGAAGGCCCCCUUCUACAGGAACACAUUUCAUUUCUUGAUCCAGCUCCAGAUUUAAGAUCCCCCUUCUUUUCAGUGUCAACAUUGUCAAACAUUUUCAAAGAGCAUCUGAAGAGAACACAGAACAAGUGUUGACUGAAAAGGAGAUUUACUACUCCUCCUCCUCCAGAGAGCCUUUUGUGAGGAGCGAAGAAAAGACCGAAAUAAUCUAAUCCUCUAAGCAGGAGGAACACGACCGAGAAGAGACAUGAAACAGAAAAUUCAUUUAUCUGUCUGCUGAAUGAUGACAAGACAACAACAACAACAUCAACAACUACAUGGCCUCAGGACACAAGCAUCAGCUGGAUGAAAAGAGUUUUUUUAUUUUUACAAACUUUAUUCAAACAAAGCGUGAAACAGGACCAAAACAGUUAUUCAUGCAUCAAAACGACAAAGCGUAAAACGCAGCGUUAAAUAUCCACUCGUCUCCAGACACGCAACACAUCACCUCCGUGUAGCACCGUUUCUGAACCAAAUCCAAAUGUUAUUCAUUCUUUUAAAAGAUGUAACGCCACGUGGCUCUGCUGCUGUGGAUGGUCAGCGUGGCCUCUCCUGUCACCAGGACCAGCAGUGACACUUAUAUAUUCAUACAUAUAUAUAUAUAUAUAGAUCAGAUCUCAAUGUGAAAACAAGGAUAUUGGAUAUCUAUACUGAUAUGAAUAGUUUAAUGCCUUUAAUAAAAAGAUCCCAAAUCUUUUCAUGGAAAUAAAAAGGUUUGAGGCUACAAGGGGCUUAAUUUUAUAGACAAAAAUUAUGAAAAAUUAAAAAAAAUUAUGUCGCAGUCCAUUUUGCCAAAAUUCAGUUUCUGCAAUUCAAAAUGCUUCUUAAUAUCUUCAUCAUGUGGCCGCCAGUUGACAAUUUGCGUUGUUUGCAACCAUUUGUGUGUGCAUUGACUUUGCAUGGAAUCCAAAAAAUGUGCUUACCCUUUGGCGUGAACGCAGCAUAAGCAGACGGAGUUCACGGAGGCAUCAGAUGAUCUCUGCGGCCUUCCCUCUUUGAAGAGAUGAAGACCUUGUGGUUAUGAAUUAGUCUGGAAUAUUUAUUGUUUGUUAACAUCCUUCAAAACGUGUGUAUUUAUGCUAAAUUGCUUUGAUCAAAAGCCGUCGCCAAAGAAAUCAAAUUUCUUUUAUCUUCAGUGAAGGCAUCAGGCUUCUAUCUUUUCAUUAACUUAAAUGAAGUGCUAAUUAAAACAUUCCGGUUGUACAGAAUUGUUGAAGGUUGAGAAAUAUAAUUUCAGACUUUGAGCUGAAAACAUGAAAAAGAAGUCAAACAAGAAACACUCAUCAAAGAUGAAUGAAACAAAGGACACAUUUAGAGAAGCUUUGGGAAACUGGUUGAUCUCAGGUCCUCUCUUCUUCUCUCCAAAGAUCUCAGGUCCUCUCUUCUUCUCUCCAAAGAUCUCAGGUCCUCUCUUCUUCUCUCCAAAGAUCUCAGGUCCUCUCUUCUUCUCUCCAAAGAUCUCAGGUCCUCUCUUCUUCUCUCCAAAGAUCUCAGGUCCUCUCUUCUUCUCUCCAAAGAUCUCAGGUCCUCUCUUCUUCUCUCCAAAGAUCUCAGGUCUUCUCUUCUGCUCUGUCCACUUAGCAUGGCAGCACUCCCCUGAGGAACGGAGGCCUCUGAUAGGUCUAAUGUUUCAGGUCUUCCUGCAAGAAAAUAUGCUGAAUUGUUGAAAGCAGGAGACAAAGCGGACGCCCUCAUCCCGCGGAGCCGCCAGAAGCGUCCUCCAUGCUGACAUGUCAGAGGAGGCUGAUUGGCCGUCACGUCGAGCAGAAAUAAAGAGACGUUGAUGAUUAAAUUUGCUGGCAGUCGGCGCAGCAGAAAACCGUUGUCUGUUUUUACAUUGUUAGUAAUCCUGUUAAUGGAAAGUGUGCUGCCAGAGACGGGGGACGGGGACGGGACGGUUGUUCCUGCGCCAAAAUAAAACAUUCGUUGAGCCGUGAAUCGGUUGUUUGAUAGCAGCAGAGCGAGUCCCCUCUCAGUCCUGGUUCUGGUUCUUCUGGACUGAAUAUAUUAGAUAGAAAAGAUUCAUUUAACUGAAUGAAGUUUCUUCUCUGAGAUUAAAACUAUAUAUUCACGACAAUGACAUCAUGACUUCAAUGUGAUAUCAUAUUUAAACCUUUUAAUUAUCAUUUAAAGUGGCCUGUGUAAAGACACAUACGUAUGUAUAUUUUUUCAGUUUGUUAUUGAUUAUUAUGUUUAUUUGAUUACUACAUUUCAUACAGAUGUUUAUUAAAAAAACAUUGUCAUUCAGUAACAAACAAACAGAUCUCACUCAUGCUGCAGAAGAAACUCAUUUUUUAUCUCGGUAUUAUUCUGUGAAUCAUUUCCUUCUCUAAUGCGAGUUCUGCUUUAGAAUUUGACAGUUCAUCUGCUUUCGGUUAUUAAUAGAAAAUAAUCUUAAACCUAUAAGACUUCAUUCAGGAAACAUAACCUGACCCGGAUAACACGCUGUAUCAUAUUUAAUAUGGAAGCAGGCACAAAUAUCUCAGUCUCUCAGAAUGUGAAGCCUCCAAGAUGGUGUGUGACAGACGGAGGGACAAGUGAUGGACCAGUGCCGCCCCCCGCCCCCCGUAGAGGGCCGCAGUGCUACCAAUGGCUAAUUAAUAAAAAUGAUCUGACAGAUGGUGCUGCGGACUAUUUCCCCCCACAGGACGGCGAGGAGACGAGCCGCCGGCCCGGUAAGGAACAACGCUCUGGUCCCGUCUCUGGUCCCGCCCCAUCAGAGGGAGGUGGGGGCAUUAAUGGAGGAUUGGAAGAGACAAAGAGGAGGAGAUUGUUGGAAAAAUGUUGCUCCUUCCCUUUGGACGUGAUCUGAUCGCAGGCUGCUUUUAUUGGCUUGUGGAAUAUUGGUGGAGCACAGGAUUAGAUUUGCCCCCCCGCCCCACCUUCCUCCCUCAGCUUCUACCAUGGAGCCUCAGAAAAAGCAGCUUUGGAUCGAUUCAGAGGACAAAAAUGGGAUGACGGAAACAUAAACAGAUUAUAGACCACUGAAACGGCUUCAUUUCCAGGCAGGGGACAAACCCACAACCCCCCCCCCACACACACACACACACACACACACACACACACACACACACACACACACACACACACACAGCUUUAGUUCUUCUCCAUCCCCACUGCACUUUGACAUCAAACACGUUUAUUGGACAUUAAGGAUUAUUACUCCUGCAAAGUUGUUUGAACUCUUUGGUGGAGCACAUUUUGGUCCAGAUCUUCUACGCAGGCCCACUUCAUACAGACGGGUUUGGUGGGGAUUCUUUGGCGCCGGUACUCUUAUCAAUGCUCUUAUACAUCCGGUUCCUUAAUUAAAAAAUCAAGAACUUGAUCAACAUUUGGAAAAAAAAAUGUGCCCCUUUAAAUGUUUUAUUAUACAAACGUUGUUUGGCUCGAUGUGUCUCUCAGUGAUGAGAUGUCCUCAGUCUCACGGCUGUAGUGAAACAAUACGCUCAUUCUCAUUUCUUAGAAUGUAAGAAAGUUUCUUUUAAUUCCAUCUGUAGAACCGCUCUGCCCUGUAUUUUUUAAUUUUUAAUUUAAUAUUAAUAUACUGUUAUUCGUCAAUACAGUUGAAAACUGUAAAAUAUAGCAGUUGACGUCUUGGAACAAAAUAUUUUUUACAGCUGUUUAAAGUUGCGGUAUAGUACUGCAUUUAAUCCAUUGACUCUAACUCCGCCCACUACUUGCAUCAUAUAAUCACUGUAGCAGCUGCAUGUAAGUUUAUGUAAGUAUAACUUAGAUAGAUAUGUCUAAUAUAUAUUACAUAUUUCUAUAUAUCUAUAUAUGCAUGUGAAUUUCCCCAUUGUGGGACUAAUAAAACCAAGUCACAGCAACCCAACCGCCAAGUCAAAUUCCUUGUAUGUCUGACAUAUUAUGGCAAUACAUUUCUUGAUAUAUAUAUAUAUAUAUAUUGAUGAGCCACACCUGAGCCGGGGUGGCUCGGCCUUAAAGAUCCAUCCAUUCAGAAACCGGGGGUUCACUGAGAAGAAGACCUGGGGGGUAUUCCAGAAAGCAGGUUUAGUGUAAACUCAGAGUUUGUUAACCCUGAGAUGAGGGAGGUAACUAAAGCUCAGGCUCAGUCUCCAUGGUAACUGAGCCCGUGAACAUCACCUGGUCGCGAGCAGGUUUUCUUUCUCCCUCCACAGGCUCCUCCCUCUGACAGCAGCCCAGCCAAUCACACAGCGCGCUUUACUUUCCUCAUUCACUCUGUAUCAGUUUACACAUAUGAACAAAAUAAGAUGUUACAAUCGCUAACAAGCGUUUGUCCAAACAGUUGUCACAUUUUAAAAACUCUAAACACAAUUAGCACAGCAUCGGUGUUUUGUGGCCAAACAAACACAUUUCAUGUCGUUUUCACACAAUAUGCAGUCAGUGAACACAUGUCCACAAUGCUUACAUUUGUCUUAACAGACAAGCCAAACCUCCCAACAAAACCAUGGAUUGUUUUAGUAGUAUUCACAAAUGUUAACACACACCAUCCCACAAUAGCAAAAACAAUAUUCCAAACCGUAGAUACAGUAUAAAAACCUCGGCUUCUGCAAUGAUAUCAGUUCAAAAACAAUAUAUCUUAGCUGAUAAUGAACAAACUAUUGAAUAAUUGACACACAGCUGAUUUAUGUUGGGUAAAUUGGGCCAACAACAGCUGAUUCCAGUCUGGCUUAUUUAAGGAGGACUUUGAGGAGUGAUGUUUUUGGAAACAGAAAAAGACAAACACUGUAAUGUCUGGACGAGGAAGAGGAAGAGCAAGGGGCCCAGGGAGAAGACCAGGUCCAGUGAGAGGUGCAGGUGCAGAAGGAGGUGCAGGUGCAGGAAGAGGAGCAGUGAGAGGUGCAGUAGGAGCUGCAGGUCCAGUGAGAGAUGUAGAAGGAGGUGCAGAAGGAGGUGCAGGUGCAGGAAGAGGAGCAGUGAGAGGUGCAGUAGGAGCUGCAGGUCCAGUGAAAGGUGUAGAAGGAGGUGCACUGAGAGGUGCAGGAAGAGGAGCCGGCCCAAGGAGAGAGCAAGGUAGAGUUGUAAGAAUGAGUGGUGGUGGCAUUCCAAGGGCUGCAAGAACUGUAGUCAGUGAUGAAAUUCGUGCCACUAUCAUUGACCAUGUAAUCAACCACGGUCUCUCACUAAGAGUCCAACCCCCCAGUUUGAGUCGGUUGCCUCCAUUAUUCGUAUCUUUCAACAAACCAACAGGUAAGUAUUGCAUUUUACAUGGUUUGUUUCUAGUCUCAUUUGACAUGUCAAUAAGGUCAUACAGUAAUGCAUUUGUUGAUUUUUUAUUUUUUUUUCUCUAAAGAAUGCAACGUCUUCCACCUUCUGGGGGAAGAGGAAAGCUCCUCAAUAAUGAUCAAGAGCUUCCCAUUGUAGAAAUGGUUAUUGCAACUAAUGCAAUUAAACUGCAUGAAAUUAAAACUAGAAUUGUGGAGGACCAUGAGAUAUUUGCCAAUAUAGAAAGCAUCAGCCUCACAACCAUUACGCGGACAUUGUCCAAACACAGAGUGCGGAUGAAGCAGCUCUACACUGUUCCCUUUGACAGGAACAGUGAGAGAGUCAAGGAGCUACGACGACAAUGUGUCCAGGUAUAGUGUGUAUUCAAUUCAAUGUCCAGUUAUAUAAGCUUUGCACUUUGCACUUUAUUUUAUUUUAUUAUACUGUUUCUACUGUACCUUCUUUGGUAAACAGUUAAGAAAAAAUAACUGAUUUGCUUUUUACUGGAAUGCGUUUAAAUGUGAACAUUACUGUACAUGUGCACAUACAGUUCCAAACCAAUACAUUUAGUGUAAAUGGUGCAUUGCAUGUUACUUGAAACAUAAAAGUCUAUGCAAUUUUUAUAUUGUCAACAAUAGCCAGAAUUUUGAAACCUGGUGUACUUCGUUUGACUACAUGUACCUUGUGAAGUGAAAACAAAUGUUAUUCUUUGACAGAAUAAUUUCAUUUUGAGUCAAUGUGUCCAGUGUUUUGGUAAAGUUAGUGUGUGCAGAGAAAGAUGUGUUCUGUUUUGAAAUUAAGAGUUGGUAUAUAUUUAACAAAAUGUGUUUUUGAGAAGCAAAUUAUACAUUUGGCCAAUUGUGUCUUGUAGGUGUGAGUCUGUUAAGAAUUUAGAAAAGAAUUCUGAAGUAUGGGUAAGAGCUUGUUAGCGAUUGAAAAAAACUGUAAAGACUAAAGUGUUUUCUGGAACACGUCACGUCCUUUUCUGGACGAUCCUGUUGAUGAAGAAGUGCUUUUACUUCGCAGCGUGUUAAACACGUCAGGAGAGAAUAUUGAGGCCCGAUUAAAUAUAUGACAUGAUAUAAACAGAUGACUACUUGUUUGAACAGUAUCGUUUUUCUUCACAGUCCAUCAAAUAUGUACAUGACCUCACCCGUCCUCACAUAACGAACGUCCCCCAUCGUGGACGUGCUCUCAAAUCUAUAUAUAGAUACUUUUCAAUUCAUUACAAUCAUACAAUGUGUUUUAUUGACACUUUAUGGUACAUUUAUUAGCAAUUAUUGCUGACCACUUUUCCAUCUUGCUCCUCAUCUCGUUGACUGGCAGACGGUUGUCAUGGUAACGUAACAUCAGGUCCGGAGCUGAUUGAAGAGGUCAUGAAUCCUGCCGUGUAUUACAGUUUUUACCAACUGCUUACACACGUUUUUAAAACUUCAAAAUGCCAUAAACACAUUUCAAAAUAAAGCAUUUGCAUCAAAUGGCAAACACUUCUUUCAUAAUAAUACAUUUUGGGAUAUACCAUGUAAACACUGCUGUUCUAAAUCUAAAGCUCUUUGGUCUUUCAUAGGCUUAUAUCGCAUUGUAUACAAUGUUCUACAGUGAAAGUGGCGUGCUGAGAGGGGUAACAAGUACACCAGAAACCCCAAUCCGAUGUAGAAACAGAAAAUAAUUACGUAUUAGGCUAAACAUUACUGUUGUAUACAUUAGCAUACAACAAAACUAUAAACAUGUAAACUAAAAGUAUAUUCUUUACAGUAUAAUACAGUGAAUUGUGUGUGGGGUUCCGGUCCAGGGGGGCAGAGGGGGUGCAGUCCCCAGUGCUCCAUCUCUUCUCCGGGUCUGGCCACAACACUUCGGCCACAUCACAAGAUACGUUUUGUCUUGCCAAACAUGGAGGGAAGUAUCUCCUAGCAUAGCGUAUCCAACCUUGGACAGAGGCCACUUUUAUGUCCCCACAUGCGUCCUCCAUUGCCUGGGGAAGCGGCGUGCGGGCUUAGGGUUGGCGAUCAUACACUUUCCAGCGCCGGGCUGAGAAGAAUUCCUCUAUGGGAUUUAGAAAAGGUGAAUAUGGGGGUGGGUACAGAACUACACAUUGUGGAUGGGUGGCAAACCAGUUUUGAACCAGACCAGCCCGGUGAAAACUAACAUGGUCCCAUAUAACCACAAAUCUAGCAGGCAUCACAACAAGCAUUGUGUGAAUUUCAUCCAGAAAAGUGAGUAUGUGGCCGGUGUUGUAUGGACCCAGUGUGGCGUUGUGAUGGAGGACCCCAUUUUGAGUGAUGGCAGCAUACAUGGUUAUAUCACCCCCCCGCUGUCCCUAUUUACAGGCCCACUAAAGCAGUGAUUAGUUAGUGAUCAGUUAGGCAAUUAGUGUUUGCACAGUGAGGAGUGUGUCUGUGUGACCUGGUAAAUAAGUGUAGCAUUUUGAUUGGUUGUGUUUGGAAAAGGAAAGCAAGUCACUUCCUGAUAGAUCUUUGUCUUUUAGGUAGAGAAUUGUGUGUAGUGUGUUUUGAAAAAAGUGUUUUAUGCCAUUGAAAACUGAGUCAAAAGCUGAGAAAUAGCUUAUGGUUUUGAAGAUUUGGCAGGUAGCACUUUGAGUCGGAGGUUUCAAAAAUCGUGUGACAUGAAAAUAUUUUGUGUGUAAGCAGUUGGUAAGAACUGUAAAAGACGGAUUGGACAUCGACCAAUCGUCUCGGCCGACAUGCUUGGACAGCGGAGUCAUGAGGUGGGGAGGAAGAUGACGAGGAGGGGAUUGAUACGCCAGCGUGUCUCGUCGGCUGAGAGGCCGGUUUAGCCAGUGAACGAGCCAAACGGACCCAUUGUCAUGGUUACAGGCGUAAAUUAACGUUCCGCCCUAGUUGAUCCAUUCGGAUCUAAAAGUGAUGGAUGAGCCUGAUGGACUCUAUCACUUCUUCUCCUGGAGACCGGAUGGAGAACAUUUUAUGUCUCCCUUAGUGGAGAGGCGGGGGCUGUGGGCCGAGGACGGGGGAGGAUACUGAGUUAAAACGUAAAACAUGUUUCAAGUUGUUUGGUGUUGUUUUACCUUUUGGUUUUUCUAAGUUGUUUUAAUGUUGUUUCACGUUUUUCACGUUUUUUUCACGUUGUUCUGCGGUGUUUCAGGUAGGGGUGGAGGGCUGAAACAGCAGUAUCUUCACCCCCCUGUGUCGCCGUAAACUCGCCUUCCCGACCUCCUUUAGUUCUGGGUAAACUUCACCUCUUUCAUCUUCCUCCGUUAUCUUGCUAAGGAGCAGUCUGUUGGUUUAACGUACUGGGGCUUCUGGGUAAAUAGGAGCUGCACGUCUUUGACUUCUCUGUGUGUCUCGUCCAAACAGACAUCGGGUGACAUCAGGGGGGGUCACUCGUCUCACCUCUCUGAUUAUCAAAUUUACCAUCCAGGCUUUUCAUGUCAAACUUUUAAUUCCCAUUUCAAUGGUUUUAUUGAACAAAUAUUGAGUAGACUAUGUUGAUUUGGACGGUGAAUGAAGCCAUUAGCCAAUCAUUGUGACAUCAUUUCUUUAUGACUAGAACAGUGACCUCAUAGCUCUGUGUGAGGUCACUGUUACAUUACAGGUCAUUUAGCAGACGCUUUUAUCCAAAGCGACUUACAUUACACUUUAAACCCGUGGCUUUUUUCACAUUUUUGCCUGAGGAGCAAUUAGGGGUUAGGUGCCUUGCUCAGGGACACUUCGACAUGGAACAUGGGGCAGCCCGGACUCGAACCACUAACCUUGUGCUUCCCAGCACACCUUCUCUAACCCUUGCGAUUCUUAAAUAUUCAAAAGAGAUGAAUCUACAAUUGAGAGCCUCAGAGGCCGGUGGGACUUCAACAUUUUUCAACCCCCCCGAGCGGAAGAUAAGUGGCUUGGCUGAACGACAAGUUGCAAUUGACUCAAAAUCCUCUGUUGCAAUGCAGACAAAGGGGUCAUCUAUUACCUCCCCACGCCCCUGCGUCCCCCUCCUCGACCCGUCUUUGGCGGUCACCUGCUUAGGAGCUCUGGGGACAUGGAGGAGCCUUGCUCCACUUCUCCGGGGCCGGGGGCUAAUUGGUGGAUGCACCAGGGAGCCCUCCAGCCGCCAAGCCACCAGCCAAGGGGCCCAUCCGCAAGCAUGUGAUCUCUGCUGAGGGCCGGGGGAGGGAGAAGGGAGCCUGGUGGGAGGAGGAGGGAGAAGUGAUUCCUGAGAGAGGAGUGGGUGGCAGGAAAGGAGAGGAGGAACUUCUAAAGCGCUCUCAGAUGUGAAAAAAGAGACUUUUUCUCGAUUUUGAAAAGUCUUUAACAGCUUAAUGUGAGUUACCUGGAGCCCAGGUGUGAACGUAGCAAGGAGGCGUCGUGGAGGCUCUCAGAGCACUGCACUGUGGGUAAUGGACUCCUUUUGUGAGCCGUCAGUGUUCAUCAGCGCGGCCAAUCGAUGGUCGCCCCGACUCCAGGACGAAGGAGGAGUAAAGACUUCUCUUUUGAGUCUGGAGGGGUUCAGUCCAUCGCCGACGGCAACGCUCCCAGAGGGCCUCGUUCACAGGAACGAGAACGAUUGAAACCAUGAGAAAAAAGCUGGAAUAAAUCUUUAUAUAGUACUUCCUCUAUAUUUUACAGAACAGCUCCCUGAAUUUGUGAUUAUGGACUGAAAAUGUGUUUUAUAGGAAGAGGAUACAUAAUAAAUCCUGUAAAAGUAAUCAUGUGGGAUCAAACAAAAGAAGGGGAUUCUGCAGAAGGAAUGGAAAUAAGAUAUCCACGACAAUCCACAUAAAUACAUGAAUUGUUGGUAUUUUUGUAUGUUUACAGGGAGCUUCUCAGGAGAGGCGGAGCCUGCGACCUGGUGGUCGUCAUGGUGACAGACGAGGUAAAUGGAAGCCGUUGUUCAGCCGCAGGGUUCAACACCUCCAGUCCGUUUCCAGUCCUGGGGAGGCUGGUGGGCCUUUUGUCCUCCUCUUGUCGUGUGACGGGAGACGCAGGUCGGGAGGGGGAGGGAUGGGGGGCAGCUGCCAGGCGCUGUGACGCGCUCACAAAGCCUUUACUCUGCUAUCAGCUCCUUUUGUUGUUGGUUCUUUCCACCAUAUCUGAUGGACCGAGCUUAUCGCCGGGGAGGAACCCACCAGAACCAGGAGCGCUCCUUUUUAACACCAGGUCCCCGGAGGAACAGCGGUUUGAAUGUCACGUCCACGCCGUGAUGUCAGGAGAGAAGAUAAAGAUCUGAGUGGAUCAUCGCUCUGACACUAAAUUCAACAUUCAAUGCUUGCAUGCAGCUCACAAUCAUUAAAAAUAUACAUUCUGAUGUCGCUCAGGAUGAAAACAUAAUGCAAAGAUAAAGCCAACAUCAGGCAGUGCCGUGGUGGUUAACGGCGUUCUUUGUUGGGUCGGCAGAGUGAGGGGGUGGGGGGCAGAAGAACCAAGAAGAGAGAAAAAAAACAAGACAAAAAAAAGUUUGUCCGCGCUGUUUCUUUUGGGGAGUCGUGGGAAGACAAGCAGAUACAGUACAAGAUGUCACAUGUGAAGAACGGUAAUAAAAAGCGCUUUCAUCGUGAUCAUUUUGGGAGUCACUGUCUGAGGAGAGCAAGGUCAGAGGGCAAAAGCAAAAAGUGCCGAGCAGGCAGACGCAGUCUGAUGAGGAUGAGAGUCAGAGACACAUGUGGUCCUAUGGGACAUUCCGUUCUAUCCUGAAAUGAUUGUACUUUUUGUGUUUAUUAUCAUUGUAUAACUGUCACAGACAGAAGAUGCCAUCAGGACCACGUCAAACGAGUCCGACCGAGAAGCCAAACACAGGUCUCGCUUUGCUGUGGAAACAGCUGACAGUGCAGUGUAAGAGGUGCGCUUUAGAUCUCAGCCCGUUUUACACGUGUCAUCAUGAUGACAACAGAGAUUUGGGGAUUUGGGGAGGGGGUUGAUUGACAGAUGCCUCGUUAGAAUGAGCAGAUUGAACCACUGCUUGGGUUUAGGGGGGCUCAGACUUCUCAUCAUGCUCUGCUAACAUGUGAUCCUUCUGCACAUCCCGGCCUUCAACAUCUCACAAAAUAUCUGUUUGUGUUACUUUUAAUUCUGGAAAGAUACAAAUCAGGUUUUGGGAUUAGUUUUUGUGUCAGUCUGUAAAACCAGAGGCCUCAAUGCUUUGAGUGGGGACAGAAGGCUCGGCCCUCUGAUUGGCUGUUAGAUCCCCUUCAUCAGGUCACGACUUAAUCUAUAUUCUGUUUGAAAUCCAGAGUGAAACUCAACAGCAGCUGAAAGUCUUCCUGCUACAUUUACCUUCAAGCUUCUUCUUCUUUAAAAAAAAACAAAAACAAAUUCUUGCGUUGUUUGCCUGCACGUCUGUGAGCUCGGGUUCUUCUUCUCAUAUGAAUCGAUUAGUGGAGCGCAAAAGAAUACAUCUAUUGUCUGUAAAAAUCUCUGUGGAAAUCACUUCACAAAAGAUUUGAGGUGAAUUUAUUUAAGUUCUCUGACAUUUAGUUAAGAAAACAAUAAGUUGAUCAUUGAAGGGAACAAUUUGCAAUAAACAUGGCGAUAAUUCUGAGGCGAAGCGUCCGUUUGUGACAUGUGAGAGAAAAGGUCCUUAGGGAGUCCUGCUCCAUGGAUCCGGUUACUCACUGCAUGACUUACAUCAGUGGCGAAGUCAAAUACGCCAACUGAGACUGGGUGACAUCUCUUAUUACAAAGUUACCUGAUCUUUUUCAUUCAUGACCAAAAUGAACUAAAGCAGAGAGGAAGAUGUCGGGUCGAUAAUAAAAAUAAUAAAGACGACCCGUCCGGCGGUCUGUUGGGUGGAGGUCAUGUGUUGGUCCAACCCACACAGACCGGCUGGGAGUGAGUCAACAUUUAAUUGCAGUAGAAGACUUGUGGUGCAGUAAAAGUAAAAGUUUCAUUCUGAACAAAACAGAUGCUUAUCAGAGAUAUUUUAAGAGCAGAUUUAAAAUCUACCAGGUGACUAAAAUAUUUGUCUGCCGUUUCCACCUCUUGUCUUGACAGCAACAUUUUGAUGAUAUCGCUUGUGUUUCCCUGUGACAUGUUUGUCGACCCGUCCUUCCUGCCUCUCUUUGACUCCUGAGUGUCUCAGCCGAUGUGGCCGUGUUCACAUCAGAGUCACAUGGUUUAUUACAUGUGGUCCUUCACACACUAACAGCAUCACAAUGACGGCACAUUCUGCCGUUCCCCAAUGGGACAAGACAACAUUUUUCUACAUGAAUACACUUUUUGCAUAUUUUAAAAAGAACAUCCAUUCGUCCGUCCUCAGAAUAAUUCUAUCUAUGUUCUCACACUGAUCUGAAUAUUCCGCUUUCACAAAAUGAAAAAGUCGGCAGAAGACACGCUUGCCCACUUUGCUGUUAAUUGGUUUCUCAGCGAGCCGGUGACAGCCUGUGGGGGGGGGGCACAGACAUACACGGCUUUCCAUGCCGAACACGGAUGUCUAUCCGAGUGAUGGAGUCAUAUUAGUGGGUAAUACAGAAGUUCCAGUGGAGACUGUCGUUGGUUCGAUGGAAUUCUGUAUGUGAGGCGUGAGAUGCAGCAGGAAACAAAGAAGAAGAGAAACAUGAGAAUUCAUCGUUGGUUUUUACAGCAUAAGGAAAGGAAGUAAAUGUUCUUUAAGCAGCUCCACGUCCAGUGAGGACAAAGUGUUACACAUUAAAAGGUGAGAUUCUCUUUGGGGAAACAUGGACACGAGGAAAUAUCGCCAUAAUAAUCAUAAUGAGGAAGAGUGCCGAUCACAAUAUAUAAAGAAUAGGAUGAUUGCAGAGGGAGGCUGCAGCCCCCUGUGAGAUCUUUGUCCUUCAGCUCGAACUGAUCUGAUGUGUGCAUCCAGCCAUGGAAGGAUUUCAUCCUUUACAACUUCUCCUUUUUCCAAAUGAACAAACAGCGCCCUCGUCUCCAGCCACAUCCUGCAUGGUCUCACAGCUACGUUUCCAUGGCAACAGUGUCCAACUGGGUACAUGCCACAAAAAACAGAGCGGGAGAGAGAGAAAGUUUCUCGCUGGAAGAGCAAACCUGGCCAGGCUUUGACUGGCAUCAUAUGCUAUUGACUGAGAACUUGAGCUCUCUUCUAACGUUGGCUUGCAGCAACGUUCCCAUGGCAACCGCAUCCCGGGGUUCACUGGCCCCCGCUCUGUUUACCCCGCACUAAUGGCAAUAAUCAAUACACAUGAUGCAACUCUGCCAUUAGUCCUCACAGAGAGAGAGACUGGUCCUCUCUCUCUCUGUGUCAUUAGCUCUGAGUGGAUAAGCAAUGCAGGUGAGCAGAGGGAGAGUCAGUGUGUUGCGUGAUGCCGUGUUCACUCCAUUUGUAACGUAAUGUCAUUUUUUACAUCCUGUAACAGGAUAACAUAAAAGGUCUAUGCACAGACGAGAGUGACGCAAAUGUGCGAUAACGCUGCGCGUUGAUGUGAAGUCUGGUCGGCGAUUCAAGCCAACAUGCUAUCAGCGGCUAGCAUCAUGUACCGCUGGAAGUGGCAGGACGCACUUCCUGUAGAAGCUCAGUAUUUAGCUACGGGUGCUCUGGUCUCUGGAACCCUUCGUCUCGUCUAAUCUUCUGUUUGUGCAAACAUUACACAAAGGACACAAAGUUGCCCCUGGAUUUGUCUCUACCUUUUUCUGCUACCAUUCGCCCCCCUGUUAGCACCGUGUUAGCUGACUGUUAGCAUUCUGUAAGCUCUCUGUCCGCUCUCUCUUAAAACAACUUUUAUUAUUCCGUGUUUUGUAUGGGAUCAGUCUCAAUAUUUGUAAAUCCUUCUGUGUGCAGUUGUACAUCAAAUACAUUGUGAAUUGUUCUGUGCACAUUUGUGAGUCGUUCUGUGUGCAUUUGCAAUUAUUGCGACUGAUCUGACCCCAUAGUUUUGUGGUAUUUCUAAAAGUCUUCAGCCUCUUUAAGCAAUUUCUCCAUGUUUCUUUUACUCGUGAGGAUCGGGAGAAAAAAAGUGAGAAAGCACUUCUACAUUCUAAGGCGCGAUAGCUGAGGACUGUUGGAAAAAAGUUGCUGCCCUGAAUGUAAAUUUAAGAAAUUGCAAACGGCAGUGUUUUUUUUUUUCAUAGCGGACAAUGUGAGGAUGCUUUGAAGCUGGUGUGUUGAUUCCCGCAUCAGCACGCUGGCUUUAAUCUUCCACAUUUGUUGUUCCUUUAAUCUCGGUUCUGUUGUUUGCUCCUAUUUUGCGCACAAGGAUCAUCGCGGCUCCGGCUUAUUUCUCUCACUGCUCCGGAGUGCUGCUCCCCAUCGGCGAGUCCGACUCCGCACGCCACCGGCCAAACCCACGCAGCCAGGAGGCGUUGGGCCGAGGUGCGAUGGUUAAACCGGAGCAUCUCUGGCUCGCCGCACACACACACGCAUCAUUUCCACCCGUCUCCACUCUGGCUGCUUUUCUUCUGCCGGUUUAAUGCUGCCUCGGGCUCAGCGGCUCUUGGCCGCGUUCCUCUCCUGUUUGAGUCUGCCACAAGAGAGGCCUCCUUAAAGGAGGAGGAAUAAAAAGAUGUCUUUAGAGCGCUUGGAGUCUGUGAUGAGCUGAUUACCGCUCAGAGGAUGCGACUCGUCCUUCUGAUCCAACCCGCCAUGAAGCAACGCCGACACAUCUCACAAAGGCUUGCUCCGACGGAAAGAGAAAAGAUUCAACAACUGCCAGUUUUUGCAUUUGAAAAUUGGCUCCGAUAUUUGCUGCUUCCAGAGGUAACUAUGUAGACUUUGGUGACCCCUUGACCGCUCCUCUGGCAUUCUGAUGGAAUCUUAAUUCCACUGGUUUGGUAAAAGAUAUUCAUGAUACAUCCAUAAGGAAUAUCUCUGUGUUCAUAGUCCCAGGAGGAUGAGUUCUAAUUAUUUGAGUGAUCCUGUGAUCUUCAUUCCUCUGUAAGCAUCAUCCCACAGACAAUCUACAUCUAUGGCAGUGGAAACCAGGGCUGGGCGGUACACCGGUCCAAUACUUCCAAUACCGUUCAUACCCGUGUUACGCCAUAACAACUGACGUUGCUCAGAAUAUAUUCCUACACGACAUCGCUGAGUGUUCAGCGGUCAAACCUACUGGCCUUACGUGUGUUGAGAUAGAGUCAUGGUUAUAACUUUAUGACAACAAUGAAUAACGCACAACAAAGACUCCUUAACAGGGUAAAACACCACGACACAACAGCUUGUGACACAAAACCAUUUGUAACACGAGUUCAGGUUGCCGCGGCCCUUUUUCGGGCUCAAUGAAUUAAUGUCUUUAAAAAGCAAUGCCGUCACAUACCGGGAUACCGUCAGAAUCUUUUUAUUUUUGUCCAUACCGUCCAGCCGUAGGCGAAGCUGUACAAGCGAUGAAAAAAUAAAAUGAUUAUAAAGAGAUUCAGCAGGGUGAGCAUCAGAGGGGCAGCAUUUGAACAACUUAUAUGUAUAUGUCUCUCUCUCUCUCUCUCUCUCUCUCUCUCUCUCUCUCUCUCUAUAUAUAUAUAUAUAUAUAUAUAUAUAUAUAUAUAUAUAUAUAUAUAUAUAUACACGUACGUUACUCACACAUACGUAUAUGGACUACUUGGUGAAAGUCUGGUAUUUGUUGACCAGCUCGUCUCGAUUCUCUUACUGUGGAUCCUACAGCGGCCCUGGAUACCUAUGAACUGAUCCUGUGGGCUGUGAAUGAAUGAGAGUUCAUUCCUUUUAAUAAAUAUUACAUUACAUCACAUGUCAUUUGGCUGACGCUUUUGUCCAAAGCGACUUACAAUGAGUGCAUUCAACCAUAAGGACACAAACCCAGAAGAACAAGAAAGUGAAAUUUCCUCAAAUAAGCCGAUGUACAACUCGCUGUAGAUAAGAACCAUUAUAAGUCCAAUGUAAGUGCUCCAGUUAGUUAGUGUGUUAGUGGAGGUAGAGUCUGAAGAGGUGUGUCUUUAGUCUGAAGAUGUGAAGGCUCUCUGUGGUCCUGAUGUCUUCAGAGACCUCCUUCCACCAUUUAGGAGCAGGACAGCAAAGAGUGGAGAUCUAGUGGAGUGUUUUGCUCUCAGUGAGGAGGAACAAGCAGUUUAUCAGAUGCAGAGCGGAGAGUGCGGGUCGGGGUGUCGGGUUGGACCAGGUCCUGGAUGUAAGCUGGACCCCAAUCCAUUCACAGCAUGGUACGUGAGCACCAUGUUUAGAACUGGAUGAGCCACUGGUACCAGUGAAGAGAGCGGAGGAGUGGAGGAGUGAGGGAGAACUUAGGAAGGUUAAAGACCAGUGGAGCUGCUGCAUUCUGGAUGAGCUGCAGAGGUGGUGCCUUCUGAGUGAGAAGAGGACGUGUUCUCCUGAUGUUGUAGAGCGUGUAUCUACAGGAUGGUGUUGUCGCAGUGAUAUUGGGAGUCAGGGAGAGUCGGCUGUGUCACGCCGAGGUUCCUGCAGUUAAAGUGAGUUGCCAAAGUUAACCGUAAAGUCCUGGAUGGGAGAAUCUUUUCCCGGAAAGAGAAGUAGUUCAGUCUGUCGGGGUUGAUUUUCAGAUGGUGGGCGGAUCCACUGAGAGAUGUCAGUCAGACAGGCAGAGAUUCGAGGAAGGGAAGGAGAGAAUUAGUUGGGUGUCAUCAGCAUAGCUGUGGGAGGAGAAGCCAUGCGAGCGAAUGACAGCGCCGAGAGAGUUGGUGUAAAGCGAGAACAGGAGGGGACCCAGGACGGAACCCUGAGGAACUCCCGUAGUAAGAGGACAAGGUUCCGACACAGAUCCUCGUCAGGUUACCCGGUAGGUCCGGCCGUCGAGGUAGGACGAGAGAAGGGAGAGAGCAGAGCCUGAGACACCAAGUUCCUGAAGGGAGGAAAUAAGGAUCUGGUGGUUGACUCUGUCAAAUGCAGCAGAGACGUCCAGAAGGACGAGGACAGAGGAGAGAGAGGAGCUCUAGCAGUGUGGAGUUGCUCUGAGACAGCAAGGAGAGCAGUCUCUGUGGAACGGCCUUGAAGCCUGACUGGUGGGGGUCAAGGAGGUUGUUACAGUGGAGAUCGGAGGAGAGUUGAUUAAAGAUCGCAUGUUCAAGAGUUUUGGACAGAAAGGGAAGAAGAGAGACCGGUCUGUAAUUGUUUUCUUCAGAAGGGUUGAGGGUGGGUUUCUUCAGGAGAGGGUUGACUCUUGCCUCCUUCAGAGAAUUGGGAAAACAGCCAGAUAACAGAGCAUUGUUGAUGAGACAGGUGAGGAACGGAAGAAGAUCAGGUGCAAUAGAUUGUAGAAGAUGCGAUGGAAUGGGUUCAAGAGGGCAGGUGGUCGGACGGGCAGAGGUUACUAGGGUAAGAAUUUGGUUAGGAGACAGAGGGGUGAAGGAGGAAAGUGAGGGCGAAAGAGGUGAAGCCAGUGGGACGCAAGAAGUAGGAGGUGGGUUUGAUAAAGAGGAGCGUAUGUCAGCUAUUUUCUUGGUAAAGUAGUUGACAAAGUCACUCGGGAAGAAGGGGGGAGCAGGAUUAGUGGAUUCGAGGAGGUUGGAGAAGAUCGCCAUCUCCUUUCCGACGCUCGCAUGGUGGCUCUCAUGGCACCGGUUGAGACAGCCACGGAGCCGGAGGGGAUUCUCCAGUCCGUCGUGUCGUAAGAGGACAGAGAGUCUAGAGAGGAGGACAGAGUUGAGAGGAGAGUCUCUGCAGCAGCGUUCGGUUGCAAAAGUGAGACGGAGUCAGUUGAAGGGAGAGCUGGUAGAACAGAGCGAUAUUGUAUGAUAACUGGGACAAAAAUCGAGAACACAUUAUUAUGGACACCUUACUGUUUUGUAUAAAAUUUGUUUUAUAUAUUAGCCGUCCAAGGAGGACUAACCCUCAGGUUUGAUGACUCCGAUCAUUCCUCUCGUGCCACCGGCAGGAAAAUAUAUUCUCAAUCAUGCUCUCAAGAGGAUGUUACCAACAACUUGUUUUUUACAGAUAUCUGUACAACAAAAUAUUUGUUAUAAGAGAAAUAUUUUGAAUAUAUUUUGCCCAAAAUACACUGAGGGUGUCCAUUUUCCCCAGAGGAUGGACCAACACCGUGAGAUAAACUGGACUUCUGAUGAUUUAACACGCUAACAAUAUAAAUGUGUAUGUUUGUGUGUGUGUGUGUGUGUAUAUACCUUUUUAUCUUUGUGACAACACGAAACACAUGACACUGCACUUCCCUGCUCCUGAAUAGUCUUAAGUAGAAGGGAUGCAAAUCUCCCACAAUGCACAGGGCAAAGCUACUUUGCUGUGAGGUUAGUAAACACAGUCCAGAGUGGAGGGAAUUACAGUUAUCUGUCAAAUGCAGAUCCUUUGAUGGAGGGCCUAAGUGCUGCUCGAUCGGAGGGGAGAGGAAGGAGAGCUUUAAGCAGUUUAGAGUGAGAUGAAACGUGGCCUCCUGAUUGGUCGGAUGGGGCUAAAUUGAAGCAGUCGCCGUUAGUCCAUACAUCAGAGUCACACUCCAAUCUUUAUCUUUUUACGUGCACUUUCAGCAUGUUGUUGUUCACUCUGUGUUAUAUCCUCAUACCGGCUGGUGUUAUUGACAUUCACUUAUUAAAAUGCAUCAGGAACAGCAGAUGUUCCCAAAUUAGCGACUUGACUGAAUUCGUGAUUGAAUAAAAGAGAAUAAAAGAGUCGAAACCCUGAACAGAGAGAAGAGAAGCAGAAAGUAGAGGCGUCUUUCUCUCUGCCUCAUGAAAAGGCCUUUUAAUAAACGUGUUGGCUCGUCAGCAGCUGUAGUUAUGGAAGCGAGCGGCUCGCUUUCCCUCACUGCUCUCUGCUCUUCAAAGCGCUUCCCUUAAAGCUGCUUCUUGGUUUCCUCUCACGUCAGUCUGAAGGCGUUCCCCCUGGAGCCUCAUGUGGCCGCCUUCAAUUGUUUGCAAUACGACGCUUUACAGGAACUGCCGUGCCCAUUUAUUUUGGUUUUAAUUCUUUAUCACCCUCCAGUGUGUGUGUGUUUCUGUGGUUGCAGAGCAUGAAUUGUGAGACCAUUUACCCCCAGAUGAGACGUUUGGAGCAUCUUGGUUCGAAGGUCAUCCAGGGAUCCACUUCCUGCCGUCAGCGUGGCUCCUUCCCAUCAGCCUGAUGCUCUCAGCUUCUUUCUGCAGACGCUUCGGUGUGGUGACCUGAUUGCUCUCCCCUCACCUCCACCUGCUCCACGUGCACCUCCACCUCCACGUGCACCGCCGUGCUCUUCUGGGUCAAAGACGUUCGCCAACUUAACCGGUAAACAUCUGAGAGCCUUCGUUACAAAUCAAGCAGAGAAACAGCUUCCUCAUUACAGAGCAGAACGAUUCGCACUUCAGUCAGCGCACACACACACACGCACACACACACACGCACACACGCACACACACACACACACUCAGCUGCCUGCUGUGAUGAGUGCGGCUCAAAAAUAGUCCCUUCGGCAGAAAAAGAAACAACCGCUAUUUAUCAUACGGACUCAACGUAAGUGAGGAUAAGCAAUUAAAAUAUCUGGGUCAGAGCUUUGUGCGAUUGUGCUUACACUUACACACUAAGACACUAAGACAGAGCGCCAUUCAUCGGGGGGGGGGGCCUCUCAUAUGCUCCUAUACGUCUCAAUAAGCAGCAGGAAGUGUGCGUUAGCUCUGCCUCACGGAGGAAUCGUUUGGGGUUGAGGGAUGUAAUUGGUCAGAUGAGGCUGUGGGCGGGGCCUCUGAGCAGAAGCCAGUGUACUCACAUCGACUCAGGAAAAACUCAAAAGCACACAAAAAACGAAAAACCCAUCCAUGAGGAAAAAACCUUAGAGAGAACGUCAGAGAAGAGCUGACAGAAUCUGCCCCCCGGACUGAAAGUGGAACCUGGUUCCACAAAAGAGGAGCUUGAUAACGGAAGGUUCUGGCUCCCAUCCUGCUUUUUAAAACCAUAGGAACAACAAGUAACCAGCAUCUAUGCAGCGCAGAUGCCUUGUAGGGCAAUACGAUAUGUUACGUUAUGACGUUGUAGCAAACAUGAAGCUGCAUUCUGUGUAGUGACCAGCAGGGGGUGACUCCUCCGGUCCCAUAGAAGUCUGAGAAAAUGACUCUUCUCUCUUGAACAUGGUGUCAGACCGAAGAAAGGCCUGUGAGGAGAUGGGGAAGGAUGAAGUUUCCUUUACAUUCAAGUCUAAAAGGCUAAAUACAUUCCAACAGUUCACACAGGAACGAUGAACGCUUACAACCUGCAGUCCAGAUGGACCAGCACGCUUCAGCCUGUGUGUUAGUGUGCCGUGAAGCCGCACAGACUCAGGGGUUUAGGUCUCAACAGAGGAUCAGAAAUGGAUGUAUCUCCAUGCAGAUGAUCCUGGGGUCUGCUUUGGGACGUCCCCCGUUGGAUGGAAAAGACACAACAGGCUUCACUAACAAGACAGCAGGCUAGUCGAAACCAUCAGAAAGACUCCAUUUACCCCGGAGAAGCCUCAAUGACACCAUCAUAACCACUAAAGCAGCUGAAUAGCUCUGUGCAGAUCACAGUGGGUCCAAACAGAGCCCCGACAUUAAGAUGUGAAACUGUGCAUUAUAAAUUAUAUAUAUAUAUAAACAGAGAUUCUUUUUCUUGAACUCCUACAUGCAGAUCUUUAAUUAAGCUUUGUUAGAUUGUAUUUUUUUUCCUUCUACGACACAUUAGCUGUUUUUUUUAUUUCAUCUAUAAAUAUUAAAUAUUCUCCAGCCAUAGCUGGGUUGUUUUUGUAACAAGCUGACACUCAGCGAGAAACAGAUGUCAGCUUCCCACGAAGCCACAUCUGGUAAACAGACCCACCUGACACCAGCGAUACAAACUCCUCAUUAAACAAUGUGACUUCAUCAGCCACCCACGGCUAAUGUGAGAAUAUUCACUAGCAUGAGAGAGGUUUGUGAGUCAACGGGCGAAAACUCAUUCACAGCAUGAGUGAGCACCGACGUUUAGAACUGGAUGAGCCACCGGGACCAGUGAAGAGGAAUCAGGAAAUAUUUAUUACCUAAAUGUCAGACAUACAUGCGAUUGGUGCAUAACAGUUAGAAAAUGGACAAGACAGAUGAGACGGCACAGUGCAAGAGGAAUAAAAUGAAAUAUAAUGCUAGGGGUCAAAAUAUAAGGAUGUGUUAGUUUAACUUUAAGUUUCAAUGUUAAAAGUUAAAAAAUAAAAAGUGCACAGAAAGUGACGUGUGUGUGCAUGUACAGUGUGAUUCUGCAUUGCAUUGAUUUUUAGAUUCACUUUUCAGGGAUUAGUUUGGUUUGAAUUCCCUGAUUAAUUUGUAUGAUUUGACCGUCAGCAGAAUUUGAUUCCCAAAGAAGAUCUUCACAAAGCCAACUUAUCUUUUUCUGAACAUCUUGAUGAAGUUCUGCUAACAUUUGAUGAUGUGAUAUUCAUUCAUUCUGUUAACUUGCUUUACCGUAAAACAAUUAUUGGGACUGGAAACAAUUCUCCUCAUGACCUCUAAAAUGUUUCCUUAACUAGAAGAGUAAAUAAAAAAGGCUUCACUCUGCGCUGCUCUUGUCUGAACCGUCCUCCACGUGUGUACACAGUGUUUUGGAGUUCUCAGGUGUUUUUGCCGGCUCUGUAUUUGGAGGUGAGACAUGUCAUGUGAGGGCGGAGCUGUGGGCGGGUUUUAUUUAGACGGGGGAGGCAUGAAUCCAUCUGUCAGGUAGACCCCCCCCGAACGCCUCUUUUAAUAGCUCCAUCAGCGGAGCUCUAAUUGGCAGCGCGUGGGACGGCGCUGUGAAGAUGGCGGCCGUGCUGCUCACCUCGCUGACUGCAGCUUGUCAGUCGCAGGAUGAGUGAGCGCGGAGCGGAGAGGCGGUGGGCGGGGGGGGACAUGGGGGGACAUGUGGGCGGAAGAGGUGUAGAGAGGGACACAGAGAGCUUCAUUUUCUCUGUUUAUUGCAUUCACUCAUUUUCUAUUAUUGCUUUUAACAAGAGCAGGAUCUAAAAUACAAUGCAGCCGUGGAAGCAAUCUGCCACCAAUCAGAGAGCUGUGACUCGUCCUGUUUGCUAAUCAACUGGUUAAUUGUUUGGUAUUCAGGUCAGAUAAUGAAUCAAGGAUUCUAUCGCUAUCUAACUUUCUGAGUAAAGGUGCGUUCAAGAAGAUUGAAGAAGAUUGACCUUCGUGUUUCAGGUGCAGUAAGUUGCAUUUUACACAAUCUAAAUCAAAAUCAUCUACUUAUCAGUACUUAUCAGUACUUAUCAGUACUUAUCAGUACUUCAGAUGUUCAGAGUUGAACCCCGGCCCCGUGUUCUACUCCUCAUGAGGCAUCUUAGUUUAUUAGUUAGUUUUGUUCUAACAUUCAGAUCAGUUUCAUGUUCGUGGUCCCCAGAGGAUCAAUGCCAUGUUUUUUCCUGUAGCACCACCUGCAGGUCAAAAUCAUCACUCAUUUAUAGAUAAUGUCACUUGAGGGUCUCCACCACGUCUACAUGACACAUUCACGCUCCCCAGAGGACUUGUACUGAGGCACCCAGCUCAAUGUGAUGAUGCGUUUCCUGUUGUGGGAUGAUGAACACUGCUCCACCGGUCACGCAAUCACACCGAUGAUCAAUUAGAACCAAGGCCGAGGCCAGCUGGACAAUGAUGGGGGUCUAACAGAGUCCCUGCUGUUCUGGGUCCAAUGGGCAGGAAAUCGGAAGUGCCUGAAGGCGACAAGCUGACCCCCGGUCAGAGCCUCGUGCACGCCCAGAGCCUCGUGCACGCCCAGAGCCUCGUGCACGCCUAAUCAACGGUGUCUACGUGCACCAAAGGCGGAACCCGUGGCUGGAACCCCCCUGCAGAGACCCACUUCCUGUUUGUAACCAGAUGAGGGUUAGGGGGCGGGAUGGUCAUAUUUACUUCAUGGCUUCUGCAGAGUUUCACAAUCAAAUUUACUCGCUGUCAGUAAAAAUGGCGGACUGUCGGUCUAUUAUCUGUGAAAAACACAAUAUUUUAAUCAGCAUUUGUAUGUAUUUCGAUGGCAUUUCUAAGGAGAAGUAUGUGUCGUAUUUUCAUAAUCUUCUAACGUCGCUACGACACGCUUUGCUGUGAGACUGAGCUCAACUUAUCUGUGUUCAAACCAUCUGAACUUCUAUCAAACAUGUCCUCAUUGUGAGGACACGUCUUCAUUGUGGGAUGUUAUGUUGAGGGGACCUGGUUCAGGGACAGACUGAGAUGUUGUGGACUGCAGUUCCACGAUGUGAAGGGAGGAUCUCACAACAUGAAGGAUGAAUGAGACAGAGUGUUGUUGUGAUGAGACAUUCAGCUGCUUCCAUCUCUGAAUAGACGCUGAUUCAAGAGACAAUCAUCAGGGACAGAGACGUGUGCACCAGCCAUCAGAAGCCUCUUCUCCUCACAGCUCCUCCUCCUCCUCCUCCGGCCUGGGGUUUGAACCCUCGGAUUGGAAGUGGGACCCCUUUGCUCCUCUUCCCUCUUUAUCCCUUCAGAGGUUUGGAUCCCCCGACGGCCUCGUCGCCCCCCCACCCCCCCCCCCAGCAGUAGGUCUGCUCCUCUCACCAUCAGAGGAGGAGGAGGAGGAGGUCUGCUCCUCUCACCAUCAGAGGAGGAGGAGGAGGAGGAGGUCUGCUCCUCUCACCAUCAGAGGAGGAGGUCUGCUCCUCCUCAGCAGGAUGGUAUCUGAGCUGAAUAUGUAAAGCCUUAUUGAAGCUUCGCUCCAGCAGUUUUUCUUAAUUGUUGGAAUAAUCAGAUUGAGGAAAGGAAAAACUCCUGUGAUUGGAUUAGUGAGAUCCUCUUUCUCUGCGCCUCCUUCUCCUCAUUUACCUCCACAUCAGCUUCAUGGCACAAAACAAUAUCUCCUUCAAGAGGCAGUGGAAUGUAGAUGAUUAUCAAUCAUUUAAAUAUCAAUAUUAACAGUCACUGUGAUUAGAUUUAGAGGAAAUAGACGCCUCUCACCGUCACUUCAAUUCUCUCCUUUUUCAGAAGAAGAAUAUUAAAGUGACUCCAAUGUUUAAUUAAUGAAUGUAUAUUGAGUCUGUUUUACCUCAUUAAAAUCCCCCGAGCUUAUCCAAUAAUAUAUAAUAAUAAAAAAUGAGCAGGAAGUCAGUCAGUAACAACAAGAGAAGGAAUAUAUGUACGUAUGUAUGUAUGUAUGUAUGUAUAUAUUUGUGUAUAUAUAUAUAUAUAUAUAUGUAUGGAGGUAAUUCCUCCAUAAUUAGCGUCACUGACUCAAAGUACCCAAGCUGCACUCUGCAGCAUAAAUAUUCAUUUGCAUCUCCGAGAAUUCAAACCAAAGUCUGUGAUAUUAAAGUAUUAGAGCAUGCAUGCGUGGGGGGGGGGGGGGG